UACGGAGGGUGCGAGCGUUGUUCGGAAUUACUGGGCGUAAAGCGCGUGCAGGCGGUUUUUUAAGUCUGAUGUGAAAGCCCUGGGCUCAACCCGGGAAGUGCAUUGGAAACUGGGAGACUUGAAUACGGGAGAGGGCAGUGGAAUUCCUGGUGUAGGGGUGAAAUGCGUAGAUAUCAGGAGGAACACCGGUGGCGAAGGCGGCUGCCUGGACCGAUAUUGACGCUCAGGCGCGAAAGCGUGGGGAGCAAACAGG
rnacentral:rRNA from 1 species